AUUGAACGCUGGCGGCAUGCCUUACACAUGCAAGUCGAACGGUAACAGGUCUUCGGAUGCUGACGAGUGGCGAACGGGUGAGUAAUGCAUCGGAACGUGCCCAGUAGUGGGGGAUAGCCCGGCGAAAGCCGGAUUAAUACCGCAUACGACCUGAGGGUGAAAGGGGGGGAUCGCAAGACCUCUCGCCAUUGGACAGGCCGAUGUCAGAUUAGUUGGUUGGUGGGGUAAAGGCCUAGCAAGGCAACGAUCUGUAGCUGGUCUGAAAGGACGACCGGCCACACUGGGACAGGGACACGCCCCAGACGACUACGAGAGGCAGCAGUGGGGCAUUUUGGACAAGAGGCGCAAGCCUGAUCCAGACAUGACGCGUGCAAGAAGAAGGCCUUCGGGUAGUAAACUGCUUUUGUCAGGGAAGAAAUCUUCUGGGUUAAUACCUCGGGAGGAUGACGGUACCUGAAGAAUAAGCACCGGCUAACUACGUGACAGCAGCCGCCGUAAAAC
rnacentral:rRNA from 1 species